CAAAGACUGGUUUCUUGUUGCGGCUGUGCUCUUGGAUUCUUGUGUGCAAUUGUGCAAUCUGUUGAUUGAUAUCCAGUUUAAGCUGCUGCUGUUUUUUUCUCGAAGACUGGUAAUGGAGAGAACCCAUUUCAUCAGCUGCAAGGAGGAAUGGAAAAACCUUAUUCAAAUCUCUUUAAUUUUUUAAGGCGGUCAUGGAAAAUAAGAGUAAGAAUGAUUAAAGAAAAGAGAUCAAAGAUGAGGAAUAGAUGUAUAGAGAAAGAGAGAGAAAAUCUAAUAAUCCGUCAUCGAUUUUUGAUGAUUCAUUACACUAUAUAUUUCCAUUUAAUAAUAGACAACUGAAACAAGUCCAAGACUAAAUCGUACUCUCUCCCUCCAUCUUUGAUACUAAAUUUCUUAAUUUUAAUGCAAAUUGAAAAUGACCAAUCAAAAUUUGACGAAGAAAGUAACAUUUUAUACAUAUUAUCCCUGAGAUAAUCAGUGACAAUCAGAGUGCAUUUACUAAAGGGAGAUCUAUAGCUAUUAAUAUUUUAAUUGCACAUCAGCUUAUGUAUAACUUGAAGAAUAGGGCAAGCGGCUUUAAGGGUAUGGCAAUCAAACUGGAUAUAAGGAAACCGUAUGUGAGGGUCGAAUGAAACUUCCUAAGGAAAAUGAUGGAAAAUCUAGGUUCUAGACCAAGGUGGAUAGAAUGGAUUAUGGAAUGCAUUUCUACUUUAUAUUAUAUUCUGUUAAAUGAAACGGUGCAAUGGUAGAGACCAUUCUUUCCUUGCCAAUUAGUAUUAUAGGAGCGUGACACCAGCUAGUGUGAAGACUAGCUACUUUAUUGCCCACAACUCGUUUACGCCACGCGGGUGGUACAAGAAAGGAACUUGUCCACAGCUAAUCAAGUCCCUUGGCAAAAAAUUAUUUGGAACUCUAGAGUGCCACCCAAAAUUAGGGUGUUUUUGUGGCAGCUCCUUCGUGAAGGAUUAUCGGUGGGAGAGACUUUGGCAAGGAAACUUGCUCAUGGAACUGACACCACCAGCAAACAAUGUGGAAAGCUAGAAACAAUCUCAUGUUUUCCAACAAUGUUAGUUAAUGCAAAAGUUCUAUAGACCAUAUGGAAGCCGGGUAAUAUUUUGGUUUUCAAAAAACAAAUAUGUUCAUGUAAGCACAUUGUGGAACAGGCAAUGUGUACCCGAAGGAAAAUCAAAAUGCACGCCAAGGGAGUCUUCAGUUAAUUAUCAUCAGCAACAAUGGCAACCUCCUCCCAUGGGCUAUUCAAAGGUUAUUUCGAGAUUGCUUAUAACAAACAAGAGAAGAGGGGUGCUAAAGGUAUGGUAAUCUGAGACCAUGAAGAAAAUUUAUUCUGCUGCAGAUCAGGCCUUGUAUAAAACUGUAUCAAUGUAACAUUGAUAGAAGCUUUGGGGCUUCGUGGAGGCAAUGCAGCAUGCUAAGGAGAAAUCCCAUCUUUGGUGAUUUUUGAAGGUGAUGUCAAGGUGGCUUUAGACAUUGUCAUUGAAGACAUCUUACUGCUUAAGAAUUGUUUUAGAUCAGUUAAUUUUACUUUUGUCCCUAUAUGUUGUAAUUAGGCGGCUGGCAUGCUAGCCAACAAAAUCCUCUUGUUCGAAUUUCUGUUCUGAUCCCAUCAGCCAACUUCCAUGGCUGGAUGAGCUGCUGAGACUGUAAGUUUCUUCAAUAAUGAUGUAAUUACCUUUUGCCGAAAA